rnacentral:tRNA from 10 species
AUGAGUAUAAGUUAAUGGUUAAACUAAAUGUCUUCCACACAUUCCAUGUGAGUUCGAUUCUCACUACUCAUA